rnacentral:rRNA from 1 species
UACAGAGGUCUCGAGCGUUGUUCGGAUUUACUGGGCGUAAAGGGAGCGUAGGCGGUUUGGUGUGUCGAAUGUGAAAUCCCACAACUCAACUGUGGAAUGGCAUUCGAAACUACCAAGCUAGAGUACUGGAGAGGAGAGCGGAAUUCUUGGUGUAGCGGUGAAAUGCGUAGAUAUCAAGAGGAACACCGGUGGCGAAGGCGGCUCUCUGGACAGAUACUGACGCUGAGGCUCUAAAGUUAGGGGAGCAAACAGGAUUAGAUACCCUGGUAGUCCUAACCUUAAACGGUGUACACUUGGUGUGCGAGGAAUUGUCCCUUUGCGCGCCGUAGCUAACGCGAUAAGUGUACCGCCUGGGGAGUACGGUCGCAAGAUUAAA